GUGCCAGCCGCCGCGGUAAUACGGAGGGUGCAAACGUUGCUCGGAAUCAUUGGGCGUAAAGCGCACGUAGGCGGCCCACCAAGUCGGACGUGAAAGCCCUCGGCUUAACCGAGGAAGGGCGCUCGAUACUAGUGGGCUUGAGUACGGGAGAGGAUCGCGGAAUUCCCGGUGUAGAGGUGAAAUUCGUAGAUAUCGGGAGGAACACCAGUGGCGAAGGCGGCGAUCUGGACCGAUACUGACGCUGAGGUGCGAAAGCGUGGGGAGCAAACAGGAUUAGAUACCCGAGUAGUCC
rnacentral:rRNA from 1 species